UAUGCUGAGGAGUCCAAAGCCUUCCUGAGAGGUGAGCAGCAGCAUGUAUUUAGGUUGCGAAAAAGGAGGUUUGAAGAAAUCUCUCAGGAAGAGCCUUUCCACGUACAGGUAGAUGAAACUGAUCUUUUCACCCCUGAAUUUGCAUCAAAGAAGCAGGUGGUUCAGUCUCCACGAAAAGUGCGUGUCAUGACGGAUCUUAAAACUGCCAGUCAGUGGUGCAUAGAGAACUCUAGGGAUCUUCUCGGAUCAGUUCAGCUUCCUGGUAUACUGUGCAUGGAGGAUGAAGAAGCUGCUGAGGCCUUGGAAACAUUGUUCUGUGACGAGUUCAGCAAGGACGAUCUUGUAGAGCCACUGACAUUUGUUUUUGAAUUUAUGCAAGACAUGCAUGCAUUUUUAGAGAAUGUGGUGGACAAAAUGCAUCUACAAAUUUUUUGUCGAACACAAAAUUGAAAGACAGUUUUAUAUUUUUAUAGUCCGUAACAUUUCAUUUAUUUUACGUAGUAAAAUUAUUCAACUACAGUAAAUGUGAAAAACCCACAUGCAACACCAUGUUUUUAUGUUUUAUUAUUUAUUAAAGUCAACAAUCACCAACUGCUGUGUGUCUUAUUUUAUGGUGUGUCAGUUUUGGAAAGAAUAUUAUCAUUGGC